rnacentral:rRNA from 1 species
AUUGAACGCUGGCGGCAGGCCUAACACAUGCAAGUCGAGCGGAUGAAGGGAGCUUGCUCCUGGAUUCAGCGGCGGACGGGUGAGUAAUGCCUAGGAAUCUGCCUUGUAGUGGGGGAUAACGUCCGGAAACGGGCGCUAAUACCGCAUACGUCCUGUGGGAGAAAGUGGGGGAUCUUCGGACCUCACGCUAUCAGAUGAGCCUAGGUCGGAUUAGCUAGUUGGUGGGGUAAAGGCCUACCAAGGCGACGAUCCGUAACUGGUCUGAGAGGAUGAUCAGUCACACUGGAACUGAGACACGGCCCAGACUCCUACAGGGAGCAGCAGUGGGGAAUAUUGCACAAUGGGCGAAAGCCUGAUCCAGCCAUGCCGCGUGUGUGAAGAAGGUCUUCGGAUUGUAAAGCGCUUUAAGUUGGGAGGAAGUGAAGUAAGUUAAUACCUUGCGGUUUUGACGGUACCAACAGAAUAAGCACCGGCUAACUUCGUG